rnacentral:rRNA from 1 species
UACGUAGGGGGCGAGCGUUGUCCGGAAUCAUUGGGCGUAAAGCGCGUGUAGGCGGCCCGGUAAGUCCGCUGUAAAAGUCAAAGGCUCAACCUUUGAAUGUCAGUGGAUACUGCCGGGCUAGAGUCCGGAAGAGGCGAGUGGAACUCCUGGUGUAGCGGUGGAAUGCGCAGAUAUCAGGAAGAACACCAACGGCGAAGGCAGCUCGCUGGGACGGUACUGACGCUGAGACGCGAAAGCGUGGGGAGCGAACAGG